rnacentral:rRNA from 1 species
ACACAUGCAAGUCGAGCGGUAGAGAGAAGCUUGCUUCUCUUGAGAGCGGCGGACGGGUGAGUAAUGCCUAGGAAUCUGCCUGGUAGUGGGGGAUAACGUUCGGAAACGGACGCUAAUACCGCAUACGUCCUACGGGAGAAAGCAGGGGACCUUCGGGCCUUGCGCUAUCAGAUGAGCCUAGGUCGGAUUAGCUAGUUGGUGGGGUAAUGGCUCACCAAGGCGACGAUUCCGUAACUGGUCUGAGAGGAUGAUCAGUCACACUGGAACUGAGACACGGUCCAGACCUCCUACGGGAGGCAGCAGUGGGGAAUAUUGGACAAUGGGCGACAGGCCUGAUCCAGCCAUGCCGCGUGUGUGAAGAAGGUCUUCAGAUUACUAAAGCACUUUAAGUUGGGAGAAAGGGGUGGUAGAUUACUACUCUGCAAUUUUUGACGUUACUGACAGAAUAAGCACCGGCUAACUCUGUGCCAGCAGCCCGCGGUAAUACAGAGGGUGCUAUGCGUUAAUCGGAAUUACUGGGCAUAAAGCGCGCGUAGGUGGUUUGCUCACGUUGGAUGUGAAAUCCCCGGGGCUCAACGUGGGAACUGCACUCAAAACUGACUGACUAGAGUAUGGUAGAGGGUGGUGGAAUUUCCUGUGUAGCGGUGAAAUGCGUAGAUAUAGGAAGGAACACCAGUGGCGAAGGCGGCCACCUGGACUGAUACUGACACUGAGGUGCGAAAGCGUGGGGAGCAAACAAGAUUAGAUACCCUGGUAGUCCACGCCGUAAACGAUGUCAACUAGCCGUUGGGAGCCUUGAGCUCUUAGUGGCGCAGCUAACGCAUUAAGUUGACCGCCUGGGGAGUACGGCCGCAAGGUUAAAACUCCACAUGAAUUGACAGGGGCGCGCACAAGCGGUGGAGCAUGUGGUUUUAUUUCGAAGCAACGCGAAGAACCUUACCACGCCUUGACAUCCAAUGAACUUUUCUAGAGAUAGAUUGGUGCCUUCGUGCACAUUGGAGACAGGUGCUGCAUGGCUGUCGUCAGCUCGUGUCCUGAGAUGUUGGGUUAAGUCCCGUAACGAGCGCAACCCUUGUCCUUAGUUACCAGCACGUUAUGGUGGGCACUCUAAGGAGACUGCCGGUGACAAACCGGAGGAAGGUGGGGAUGACGUCAAGUCAUCAUGGCCCUUACGGCCUGGGCUACACACGUGCCUACAAUGGAUCGUGUACAGAGGGUUGCCAAGCCGCGAGGUGGAGCUAAUCCCAGAAAACCGAUCGUAGUCCGGAUCGCAGUCUGCAACUCGACUGCGUGAAGUCGGAAUCGCUAGUAAUCGCGAAUCAGAAUGUCGCGGUGAAUACGUUCCCGGGCCUUGUACACACCGCCCGUCACACCAUGGGAGUGGGUUGCACCAGAAGUAGCUUAGUCUAACCUUCGGGAGGACGGUACC